GACGAACCGUGCAAACGUUGUUCGGAAUCACUGGGCUUAAAGGGCGCGUAGGCGGGCAACCAAGUCAGGGGUGAAAUCUUUCGGCUUAACCGGAAAACAGCCUCUGAUACUGGUUGUCUCGAGGGAGGUAGGGGCAUGUGGAACUUCCGGUGGAGCGGUGAAAUGCGUUUGAUAUCGGAAGGAACGCCGGUGGCGAAAGCGACGUGCUGGGGCCGACACUGACACUGAGAGACGAAAAGCUAGGGGGAGCGAAUGGG
rnacentral:rRNA from 1 species